GCCGGGCAUGGUGGUGCGUGCCUGUAGUCCCAGCUACUUGGAGGCUGAGGCAGGAGAAUGGCGUGAACCCAGGAGGCGGAGCUUGCAGUGAGCCGAGAUGGUGCCACUGCACUCCAGCCUGGGUGACAAAGCGAGACUCCGUCUCAA
ensembl:misc_RNA Metazoa_SRP Metazoan signal recognition particle RNA